ensembl:lncRNA
GAAACUCCAGUACUUUGGCCACCUCAUGCGAAGGGUUGACUCAUUGGAAAAGACUCUGAUGCUGGGAGGGAUUGGGGGCAGGAGGAGAAGGGGACGAUAGAGGAUGAGAUGGCUGGAUGGCAGCACUGACUCGAUGGACGUGAGUCUGAGUGAACUCCGGGAGUUGGUGAUGGACAGGGAGGCCUGGCAUGCUGCAGUUCAUGGGGUCGCAAAGAGUCGGACACGACUGAGCGACUGAACGGAACUGAACCAGAUGGUUAUGGACCCUUGACAUUGUAUCAGUAUUGAUGGGGAAUAGUGACAGCACAGGUCUCAAAUAAGGGAGGUAGAAUGACUGUUUUUUAGAAUCUUCACUGGCUCCAACUGUCUACCUUCAGAUAGGUUCCUACACAUGAUCCCUGUCCCUCUACCACCCAAACCUACCUGGUUCUUAAUUCUCCCACUUCUGCUGAUGGAAGCACCAGCAUCUGAGCUACUAAAAUUUAACAUCCGUGUUGUCCUUGACUCUCAUAUCACUUCAGAUCUCUGCAGUCCCUCAGUCCACUGAUUUGACCUCCCACCUACACCCGCUUUCCCGUUCCUGCUAUUACUGUUGCAGAAACCAGUACUCGAGAAACCAAGCACCACACUCGGAGAGCUGGAGAGCUGGGAUGUAUCACGCCGUCAGGCCCAGAGGAGUUAACGCUCCAACCUCUGAGCCCUGAACAAGGGAUUACAGAGUUUUUACAGACAGACUGUAGUGGGCAACACUAGCUGUUAAUAGGCUGGUUUAAACUAAGGGGUUUCUUGUGCAGGAACAGCAGUCAAGAUGCAGAGGGAGAUGCCUGGCCUGGACAGGCAUGAUUAAGCAGGUUUGCAGGGGCCCGGUGAUUGCAAAGAGCAGGACAAGGGUAAGUGAGAUAAACUCCAGUUCCUAGUAUUGCAAGUCCCCACUUUCUGAGACUACGUGACCUACAUGAUCUAGACUUUCCAAGGGGCCAGCUGAGUUAAGAGGCAGGAUGAGCAGGAGUGGUCAUGUAUGGAUGUGAGAGUUGGACCAUAAAGAAAGCUGAGCACCAAAGAAUAGAUGCUUUAGAGUAGGUGUUGGAGAAGACUCUUGAGAGUCCCUUGGACUGCAAGGAGGUCCAACCAGUCCAUCCUAAAGGAAAUCAGUCCUGAAUAUUCACUGGAAGGAUUGAUGCUGAAGCUGAAACUCCAAUACUCUGGCCUCCUGAUGCGAAGAACUGACUCACUGGGAAAGACCCUGAUUCUGGGAAAGAUUGAAGUAUCUCUGCCUGAUGUCUGAAUAAAGAGAAGAAGAAACACCACCACCACCACCAACAACAACAAAAAAAUGGUUAUCAGGAGACCAGACUAGAAGCUACUCGUGUUCCAAGUGAGAAAUGCAGGAACAGGGGAGUUACUGACAAGCUGUGUGGCAGACUCAAGACCUCCUUGGAGAAGACUAUGUUCUAGUUGUGAAGCAAACACACACACAGUGAGUCAGAUUAGCUGGCAAAUGACUAAAGUCAUAUGUUUGGACACAGAGUUUUGGAGAGAAGAGCUGAGAACACUCCAGGGCCUUGCCAUUCUUUCUCCAGUUCCAGUCCUCCAGCUUCACUCUGGGGUCUUCAGACGACUGCUGUGCUAGCUCUCCCAGGUUAGGACAUCCUCAGAGGAAUCUCCCAAGUCCCACCCCAACCAAUCCUCUCAAAGCUCCCGUGUUUGGAUAUGGCCAUUUCUGAAGACACACAUCUGGGAAGCAGCUGCCUCCCCACUCUCACAAAAUCUUCUCUGUCUGAUCCAGUUGAAGUCAGAGCAGAGAAGAGGUGUGGGGGACUAAGGAAACGCAGAAAAUCUGUCCAAGAUGGGAUCUAGGUAGAGUGUCAGGGGCACCACCCCAAAUCUUCGGAGCCAUGCCUCUGGGGUAGCCACUGGGAUUCCAACUGGUCUUUGCGCCUCCCUCUGAUCCCUGCAAGACCAGAUGCGUCCCACAGCUGUGUGCCAUCUGCCACCCCCUACCCCGAAGGAAGCUGCAGUUUGGAGGUUAAAGAUGUGAGGGGGAAGAGAGUGACUCUUCGUUGGCUCUGGAGGGUUAGUUAUGGGAAUAGGCAUCUAGACUUCCCACGUAGUAGGCAAAUGGCCCAACAUCCAACUGCACAGUGGCUCCCCCCAAAACUCUCCUGGCAUGAGAAAAAAUUUCAAAGAAAAAAGUCAAUAUGCUGGGGUUUCCAAACUCUUUCCCUACUAAAUAUUUCACAGACCCGAGCUUAGAAACUUCACCUUUCCGGUUUAUUUACUCCCAUUUACUCUCUGUCCCUCUCCCUUCCUCCACACCCCAAACACUUGCACCCCGAGUUCCCAACCUGGGUCAUCAUGAAGUCUAACAACUUCUAGUCAUACUGACAUGGAAUCCUCCCCAAAGGAAGAGAACCGGACGCCCGUCCAGCAGAUGACGUUUUCGGCCCCUCCCUGAGCUCAGAAGCCUGAUGCCGCCCAGACAUAUGGAUCUUUUUAGAGACUUAGGCAAUUUAGCAAUCCCGUUUCACACCCUCCAAGCCCUCCUGCUCAGACACUGUUCUGCCGGGACUGCCCCAGGAGAGGGAAGGAGUGGACCCAUGGAGGCUCUUUUCUUCUUCUUCAUCCUUUGUCAUUGCUCCUGGCAAGAGUCUGCUCAAUCAGGAAGGCGAUUGUUUGUCCUCGAGUCCAGUCUUGGGCCGAAAACAGGAAGGAAUUGAGAGAGAGAGAAAGAAAGGAGGGAAAGAAAGAACACAGCAGCACUAUUUUGGUUAGUUUUCCAAGACACAAGGCUGGAAACCCCUCAACCACCGACACACUGGGUCUUGCUCCUCCCCUUCUGCACUGCGGCCACUUCCGGAGGAGCCAUUUUCAUGCCGUUGUCCACAGGAACAGAGCUGCUGAGUCCCGGCCAUGCUCAGCCCGAGCACAGUGUUCUGCCUCUCUACUUCCUUCACGUUAUCCAUCCUGAGCCUCUGUGGCUCCAUUCAGCCUUGCUGUGUGUGCUCAGAAAUGGAAAAUGCUUCUGCUGAGGCGAAAAGAGCUCCCUGCCUCCUUGCGGGCACACCUGCCCCUAUCCUCCCCCUCAGACGGCAUACAGGAGGCUGCCAUGUUUUGAAGGAAAGGGAAGUUUCUCGCUGUUAUGGAAGAAAGAACAACUCUGCUCAAAGGUCUGACACCAGCACAGCCGAGGAGAGUGUUCUGGCUCUCAGAGGUCUGAUUCUCACAGCCUGAGACCUCUGGUGAUUCCCAGCUGGGAAGUCUGCAAAAUUUGUACCCUAAAGGGUGGGGCCAUCUUGGAUGAAGAUGGUGAACUAGGAGGAGUCCGAAAAAUUCAUAGGAAUUGGGCUGUCCUUGACCCAUUCCCCCGACCCGCCGCCUCUGAGGUGGUCUCUUUUAGGCGUAGCCCUAACUCAGAAGAUAAGCAGUAGGAGAGGGGUGAAGGGAGAAAUGUUCCCAGAGCCAGGCCCCAACCAACCACCUUAUUUUAUGUGAUGGUUUUAAGAAAGAAAAGACCUCCAUGGAAAGUGCAACAAUCAAUAGUUUGGGACAGAUGUUUCCUUUCCAGCCACCUUUUCCUGCCCCAAGCUAAAAAUAACCACCCUCUGUGCUUUGGCUUCCAUCAAAUGUGUGUCAUUAAAGUUGUCCGUUUGGGUUUCCAGAGACAAAGACUGAUGGAUUCCUGGAUUUCCCAGCCUGUUGGGCCAUGUGCUACAUGCAGUAUUGGGUGCAAGAUGACUCUAGCCCCCCGAGGUGAUUCUUGGGUCCCAGACAUCACUUCCCUGCUCCUACCUUUAGGUAGCACCACAGAGUUUCCAAGUGAGGAAGUGCAGUUUGCCAAGUAGCUCCACUUCUGUUACUCCAAAUAAAUCCUUCACGUUGGCAUUUUCUUGAAUCCAUUACACUCCAGCCCCCAGGGUAGCCUUGACCCUUCCUGUACUCUGGCUUUACUGGAAAUACAAAUGUUAUCUGGUCGCACUCAAGAGGGAUGCUGAGAUAGGCCUGCCCUGGCAGGAAGAUUUAUUGGAAACCUAGAAGAGACACAAGGGACAUAAGCAGAGCCAACAGCAGAGGUAGAGACACACUCACAUUCACAGGGCACGGAUUUCUGCCCCAUUCUCAGAGGGCUGCUUCCCGCGGCUUAGAAAUGUUUUCUCCAAGUGCCCUCAUUGCUGACAUAUAUAUUCGCUCUUAAGCCAAGCUGUUUUCUGUUAUCACGUGGCUGCUCCUUCAGACAACCUAGGUCCUAACAAAUCUUAAGAGGACUACAGUAAAAAUCAGCACAUUUAUUUUCCUUUUCACGAUGCAAAUAGCUUUAUUUGUCAUUUUUUGUUUGUGAAAGUAACACAUCAUUAUUGUAAAAAAUAAAAUAAAAAAGGGCCAUGCUGUACACAGA